GCCCUCGUAGCUCAACCGUUAGAGCCUCCUCUUUCUAUAGUUUGUGUAUCAUAAAAGUAUGUGGAAGAUGUGCGUUCGACUCUCACUGAGGCCA